CCUACGGGUGGCAGCAGUGGGGGAUAUUGCACAAUGGGGGAAACCCUGAUGCAGCGACGCCGCGUGAGGGAAGAAGGAUUUCUGUAUGGAAAGCCCUAUCAGUAGGGAAGAAAAUGACAGUACCUGACCAAGAAGCCCCGUCUAAAUACGUGCCAGCAGCCGGGGUGAUACGUAGGGGGCAGGCGUUAUCCGGAUUUACUGGGUGUAAAGGGGGCGUAGUGGGUUAUGUAAGUCUGGAGAGAAAGCCCGGAGGCCAACCCCGUGACUGCUGUGGAAACUGUUUAACUGGAGUGCAGGAGGGGCAGGCGGAAUUCCUGGUGUAGCGGUGAAAUGCAUAGAUAUCAGGAAGAACACCGACGGCGAAGGCGGCCUGCCGGCCUGCAACUGACGUUGAGGCACGAAAGCGUGGGGAGCAAACAGGAUUAGAUACCCGUGUAGUC
rnacentral:rRNA from 1 species